UAUCUGCAGAAACCACAUCUUUGUCUUUUUGCUGUCCGAGACAUUAAACCAGGAGAAGAGAUUACUUACAGCUAUGGAGACUGGGAUUGGCAAGCCAAGCGUUCAUCACCUGUGAGGAAAAGUUCAUCACCUGCCCCUGUGACUGCUACAUCAUCCUCAUCCUCACCUGUGAGGAAAAGUUCAUCAAGAAAAAGACAGGAGAGGUUUCAGUCAAGAUUGGUCACACUACGGGAACAUCAUAACAAUUGCUCCAAGCGCUUUAAUAGAGCAGAAGUUGAAAAAACCAACAGAACAAAAAAGACUGCCAUACUUGAGGAUUGCGUUGUGAGUAAUGUGUAAACAUGAUCAUCACAUUACUUUAACACCUCAGUGUAUUUAAAGGGGUCAUAUUCUGCGUUUUCACUUUUGCAGCUCUAGGUUUUCGUCGGUCGAGAGGGAGCUGCUGUUGUAGUGGAGUAUUGUUGUCAUUGCCCCCCCCCCAAAACAAAAGAAAGGAAAACUGCUCUUGACUGAAUCACUUAUUAACUUAAAUAAGAAUCAUCUAUAUUUAAUGUAUAGAGUGAAGAUUAUUUUUACAUUAAUUACUUCAUAAAAAUAUCUGUAGUAGGCUAUUUUUAGAAGCCUUUACUUGGCUACU
ensembl:lncRNA